ensembl:lncRNA
UCACGCGUUAUCUUUUAUUGUUUUAAAAAUGUUAUAUUCCCCAUAAACAACUUAACAUGUUUAAUAAGUCUCUCCUGUCCUUGCUCUCUGCGCUAAGUCACUCACUCCACAGAGCGCUAUCAAUGUUCAUUCUGCUCAUGAAACUAUUGCACAUCAGUCAAAUUGUAGUGUACAGUUAUAUUUAUGGAGAAUUGUGGGUGGGAGCAUGAGUGACAGGCUUGGACAGAAUCUUACAGCUAACGGUAAAGAGGGUUGGAAUAGGGCCCAGGAGAGACUGCGAGAUUACUCAAACUUGAAUUGAUUACAAAACAUUCAUUACAAUUUUAUUAGCUUGCUAAAUUCUUGCAAAAUUCUUUUAGUUCCUGUAUGGCCUUAUCAUUUCUGUCACAUUUUAUUAAACCUUUCUUACUUUCAUGGUAGACAACGUUGACAUAUUUAAUAACAUUCGGGUAUCCAGGGUUUUGCAGGGGUUGUGGGAGAUAAAUGUCCUCUAUUGAAUGAUGCAUCACCACCAAAAUCAUCUUUUUCCCAUUGGCUUUCUCUGAAAACAAAUAACAAAUUAGUAAAGACCUUCACCUAAAACACUGUCCAAAUCCUAAUUCUUACUUGGAUGUACUUUAACUUGGAUGUUCUUAAAGGACCUAUAAGUGAUUUUUUUUUUUCCCUCCAUGUGUUUUUCUUGCCCCAGUAGAGAUAUACUGUAUAAGCAGCUCUUGAGGUAAAAAUGAGCCCGCUGUAUCCUGUCUACAUCUGUUUAGAAAGCACUUUAUUGUCCGAUAAUCAGGAAGUGCACUGUUAGUAUGCCUGUUGUUGUUAGCAUUAGUGUGAUGGCAAAGCUCUGGUCUCUGAAAGUUGUGAAAAGCACUCGAGGUGAAUCAUGAUGUUCGCGAUGCAUAAGGUGAGUGAGGAAUAACUUUAGACCACUGCAAACUUUGAAAUAAACUAGUUCUACCAUUUCAAGUCAGUACAAAUCAGGUACAGUGCCUUUAAACCAAUUUUAGCAGAAAUACUGAAAAUGUUAAGUGGGAAAGAUGGAUUUAAUGACUUCAAUGAGAGCCGUUUCAGAUUAAUAAAUGUGUAGAACUCAACUCAGAGCUGUACACAUAUUAAAAGGGGCUCUACGUGAGUUUUCUGGUGUAGGGUCUGCCACCUGCUUGUGUCCAGAGAUUUGUGGUUUGCUUGGAAUGUUCCACAGUAUGUUAUUAAACAGGUGAUCUCUGGUGUUUUUAUUUCCCUCCAGCAAAAAAGUUACAUAGUGCACCUUUAAAGUGGACCUAAACACUAAGUGCUUCAGUUCUCAUUCCAGGUGCUAAACUGUGAAUAUAAACUGAAAUAGCUAUGAUCACUUCCUAUCUGGAACGCGGCGGUUAGCAGGUUAGCUAUGACCAUUUUUAUACACAGUCUAUGGUUGUAAACUCCUGUUUGCCUUACUUCAGAACUUUCUGGCAUAGCGUUUAGAUUAAGGAGCGUCUGAUGCAAACCCGUGAAAACUUUGAACAGCAGGUUAUCAUCGCUUUGGACUUAUACGCGGGAUGACAGAUCACGGUAUAACCACACACUGUGGCAUCGGAUCAGUGCAGAGACGCAUUGCACCUCAUGCAGGACCUACAUACACAGAGACCCCACAGUGUCACUCCGUGAAAAACUACAUUAGGUUUUUACUACAGUAGUUGGUGACAUCACACAGAACUGCUCUGAUUACAGCCAGGUGUUUCUGAGUAACAAAUGCCUGGCUGCAGAGGUGGAAUUUGAAGUGUGGAUACCUGUUAGACCAAUCACACUGUUCCACAUAUGUCCAGACCCCGCCCCUCCACCUCACUCACUCUCCUCUUUACUCCUCCAGGUACUACUCAGUUUAAGCAGCUCUAUUUGAAAUGUGGUUGUGGUUUAGUCCCACUUUAAGUCAUAUAAUGAAAUCAAGAAGGAGUCAUUGAAACCCAUGGACCAAUCUAGAUCUAGAGACAAAUAAUUUAACCUUAUCUCACAAUACAGGGGUGUCAAACUCAAAUUCACAGAGGGACAAAAUUAAAAACUAAGACUAAGUCGCCACCCAAACUAAAUAUUUAUUGAAAACUUUCAACAACAUCUGCAUGUUUUUUAAGAAGGGGUGGAUUAAAUUUGAGUGAGGCAACAGGUAGGAAAUGCAAAUGAGAGUCAACAGAAAUGGUGGGGGCCAGCGGUAACACAUUUGCAAAGCAUUCUGGGAUUCGUAGUAUUAGAGAUGCAUGCGCUCUACUGGUGCAGCGGCCGGCGGGACAGCUCUAAUACAUAUUUGAUAUGAUCUUGUGGGCCAAAUAUAUUUAUAUCGAGGGCCAAAUUCUGACAUGUCUGUCAUAAUAAAUACAUCACUUGUACAAACACACAUUUACCUGAGAUAUUCCUCAUGGCAUCUUCCAUGUCUGAUCCUGAACGAGACGUGACAGGACAGAAGACCAAGACCACGUCACAGUUUGCAGGCUCUGGACAUAUUUCUACAUGGAUGCCCUUUAGGAUCUCUUGAUCAGCACCAAAUGUUUUAGCAGCCACUACAAUAUAAACUUUGGCCUUUUUACUUGAUGAUAAUGAUAAAGUUAGGCUGGGUGUAUAAGAAAAUAGUCUUGAUCCCAAUCCUGGAAAAAAGACACUUUUUAAGAUUAAUCACAACCAUAACAAUUCAAGAAGCAACUAGCAAAUCCAAGUUAGUUUACUCACGUUUUGUACCAGGGUUGACAAAAAUACCCAUGUACUACAAACUACAUAGUUAUUUAUUUGAACAUAAAUAGGAUCAAAUCCAACCUUUCUU